UACGUAGGGUGCGAGCGUUAAUCGGAAUUACUGGGCGUAAAGCGUGCGCAGGCGGUCUGUUAAGACAGAUGUGAAAUCCCCGGGCUUAACCUGGGAACUGCAUUGGUGACUGGCAGGCUUUGAGUGUGGCAGAGGGAGGUAGAAUUCCACGUGUAGCAGUGAAAUGCGUAGAGAUGUGGAGGAAUACCGAUGGCGAAGGCAGCCUCCUGGGCCGAACA
rnacentral:rRNA from 1 species